GACGAACGCUGGCGGCGUGCUUAACACAUGCAAGUCGAGCGAUGAAGCACCUUCGGGUGUGAAUUAGCGGCGAACGGGUGAGGAACACGUGAAGAAUCUGCCUUCAACUCUGGGAUAACUCCGGGAAACCGGGGCUAAUACCGGAUAUGAGCCUUGAUCGCAUGAUCGGGGCUGGAAAGUUUUUCGGUUGAAGAUGACUUCGCGGCCUAUCAGCUUGUUGGUGAGGUAAUGGCUCACCAAGGCGACGACGGGUAGCCGGCCUGAGAGGGCGACAGGCCACACUGGGACUGAGACAUGGCCCAGACUCCUACGGGAGGCAGCAGUGGGGAAUAUUGGGCAAUGGAGGAAACGCUGACCCAGCGACGCCGCGUGAGGGAUGAAGGCCUUCGGGUUGUAAACCUCUUUCAGUAGGGAAGAAGCGAAAGUGACGGUACCUACAGAAGAAGCACCGGCUAACUAUGUGCCAGCAGCCGCCGCGG
rnacentral:rRNA from 1 species